CGGGACCUACGGGGGGCAGCAGUGGGGGAUAUUGCACAAUGGGGGAAACCCUGAUGCAGCGACGCCGCGUGAAUGAAGAAGGCCUUCGGGUUGUAAAAUUCUGUUAUAAGGGAAGAAAGGUGAUAGGAGGAAAUGACUAUCAAUUGACGGUACCUUAUGAGAAAGCCACGGCUAACUACGUGCCAGCAGCCGCGGUAAUACGUAGGUGGCAAGCGCUAUCCGGAAUUAUUGGGCGUAAAGAGCGCGCAGGUGGUUAAUUAAGUCUGAUGUGAAAGCCCACGGCUUAACCGUGGAGGGUCAUUGGA
rnacentral:rRNA from 1 species